rnacentral:rRNA from 1 species
CACGAAGUUAGCCGGGGCUUCUUCUGUGGGUACCGUCAUUAUCUUCCCCACUGAAAGAGCUUUACAACCCUAAGGUCUUCAUCACUCACGCGGCAUGGCUGGAUCAGGCUUGCGCCCAUUGUCCAAUAUUCCCCACUGCUGCCUCCCGUAGGAGUCUGGGCCGUGUCUCAGUCCCAGUGUGGCUGAUCAUCCUCUCAGACCAGCUAAAGAUCGUCGCCUUGGUGAGCCAUUACCUCACCAACUAGCUAAUCUUACGCGGGCUCAUCCAAAUCCGAUAAAUCUUUCCCCCGUAGGCGUAUACGGUAUUAGCAGUCGUUUCCAACUGUUGUUCCGUAGAUCUGGGUAGAUUCCCACGCGUUACUCACCCGUCUGCCACUCCCCUUGCGGGCGUUCGACUUGCAUGUGUUAAGCCUGCCGCCAGCGUUCGUUCUGAGCCAGGAUCAAACUCU